rnacentral:rRNA from 1 species
AUUGAACGCUGGCGGAAUGCUUUACACAUGCAAGUCGAACGGCAGCAUAGGUGCUUGCACCUGAUGGCGAGUGGCGAACGGGUGAGUAAUACAUCGGAACGUGCCCAGUCGUGGGGGAUAACGUAGCGAAAGUUACGCUAAUACCGCAUACGAUCUAAGGAUGAAAGCGGGGGACCGUAAGGCCUCGCGCGAUUGGAGCGGCCGAUGUCAGAUUAGGUAGUUGGUGAGGUAAAGGCUCCCCAAGCCGACGAUCUGGAGCUGGUCUGAGAGGACGACCAGCCACACUGGGACUGAGACACGGCCCAGACUCCUACGGGAGGCAGCAGUGGGGAAUUUUGGACAAUGGACGCAAGUCUGAUCCAGCCAUUCCGCGUGCAGGACGAAGGCCUUCGGGUUGUAAACUGCUUUUGUACGGAACGAAAAAGCUCUUACUAGUACUAGGAGUCCAUGACGGUACCGUAAGAAUAAGCACCGGCUAACUACGUGCCAGCCGCCGCCGUAA